rnacentral:tRNA from 1 species
GCUAGAGUGGCAGAGCCUGGUAAUUGCGGGGGGCCUAAGACCCCCUACCCAGAGGUUCAAGUCCUCUCUCUAGCU